CAGGCCUAACACAUGCAAGUCGAACGGGAGUUGUUUUCGAACAAUGGAGUGGCGCACGGGUGAGUAACACGUAGCUAACCUGCCCUGGAGAGUGGAUAACGUUCCGAAAGGGAUGCUAAUACCACAUAAGCUCACGUACUGUAAAGGAUGUGAGAAAAGGAGCAAUCCGCUCGGGGAUGGGGCUGCGGCCCAUCGCUAGUUGGUGGGGUAAUGGCCUACCAAGGCGACGACGGGUAGGGGACCGAGAGGUGCACCCCCCACACUGGGACUGAGACACGGCCCAGACUCCUACGGAGGCAGCAGUGAGGAAUAUUGCACAAUGGGCGCAAGCCUGAUGCAGCACGCCGCGUGGGUGAUGAAGGUUUUCGGAUCGUAAAGCCCUUUUCUGCGGACGAGGAAGGACGGUAGCGCAGGAAUAAGUGUCGGCUAACUACGUGCCGCAGCCGCGGUAAU
rnacentral:rRNA from 1 species